GACGAACGCUGGCGGCGUGCCUAAUACAUGCAAGUCGAACGCAGGGGGGACGGGUGAGUAACACGUGGGUAACCUCCCAUCAGAGAGGAGAACACUUGGAAACAGGUGCUAAACCGAUACUGGCGGAUGGACCCGCGGUGGAUUAGGUAGUUGGUGAGGAAACGGCCCACCAAGGCCACGCUGCAUAGCCGACCUGAGAGGGUGAUCGGCCACACUGGGACUGAGACACGGCCCAGACUCCUACGGGAGGCAGCAGUAGGGAAUCUUCGGCAAUGGACGAAAGUCUGACCGAUCAACGCCGCGGGAGUGAAGAAGGUUUUCGGAUCGUAAAACUCUGUUGUUAGAGAAGCGGUAUCUAACCAGAAAGCCACGGCUAACUACGUGCCAGCAGCCGCGGUAAUUC
rnacentral:rRNA from 1 species